GCGUUAAGUUGCAGGGUAUAGACCCGAAACCCGGUGAUCUAGCCAUGGGCAGGUUGAAGGUUGGGUAACACUAACUGGAGGACCGAACCGACUAAUGUUGAAAAAUUAGCGGAUGACCUGUGGCUGGGGGUGAAAGGCCAAUCAAACCGGGAGAUAGCUGGUUCUCCCCGAAAGCUAUUUAGGUAGCGCCUCGUGAAUUCAUCUCCGGGGGUAGAGCACUGUUUCGGCUAGGGGGCCAUCCCGGCUUACCAACCCGAUGCAAACUGCGAAUACCGGAGAAUGUUAUCACGGGAGACACACGGCGGGUGCUAACGUCCGUCGUGAAGAGGGAAACAACCCAGACCGCCAGCUAAGGUCCCAAAGUCAUGGUUAAGUGGGAAACGAUGUGGGAAGGCCCAGACAGCCAGGAUGUUGGCUUAGAAGCAGCCAUCAUUUAAAGAAAGCGUAAUAGCUCACUGGUCGAGUCGGCCUGCGCGGAAGAUGUAACGGGGCUAAACCAUGCACCGAAGCUGCGGCAGCGACACUGUGUGUUGUUGGGUAGGGGAGCGUUCUGUAAGCCUGUGAAGGUGGCCUGUGAGGGUUGCUGGAGGUAUCAGAAGUGCGAAUGCUGACAUAAGUAACGAUAAAGCGGGUGAAAAGCCCGCUCGCCGGAAGACCAAGGGUUCCUGUCCAACGUUAAUCGGGGCAGGGUGAGUCGACCCCUAAGGCGAGGCCGAAAGGCGUAGUCGAUGGGAAACGGGUUAAUAUUCCCGUACUUGGUGUUACUGCGAAGGGGGGACGGAGAAGGCUAUGUUGGCCGGGCGACGGUUGUCCCGGUUUAAGCGUGUAGGUGUGUGUUCCAGGUAAAUCCGGUUCACUUUAACACUGAGGCGUGACGACGAGGCACUACGGUGCUGAAGCAACAAAUGCCCUGCUUCCAGGAAAAGCCUCUAAGCAUCAGGUAACAUCAAAUCGUACCCCAAACCGACACAGGUGGUCAGGUAGAGAAUACCAAGGCGCUUGAGAGAACUCGGGUGAAGGAACUAGGCAAAAUGGUGCCGUAACUUCGGGAGAAGGCACGCUGACACGUAGGUGAAGUGAUUUACUCACGGAGCUGAAGUCAGUCGAAGAUACCAGCUGGCUGCAACUGUUUAUUAAAAACACAGCACUGUGCAAACACGAAAGUGGACGUAUACGGUGUGACGCCUGCCCGGUGCCGGAAGGUUAAUUGAUGGGGUCAGCGCAAGCGAAGCUCCUGAUCGAAGCCCCGGUAAACGGCGGCCGUAACUAUAACGGUCCUAAGGUAGCGAAAUUCCUUGUCGGGUAAGUUCCGACCUGCACGAAUGGCGUAAUGAUGGCCAGGCUGUCUCCACCCGAGACUCAGUGAAAUUGAACUCGCUGUGAAGAUGCAGUGUACCCGCGGCAAGACGGAAAGACCCCGUGAACCUUUACUAUAGCUUGACACUGAACAUUGAGCCUUGAUGUGUAGGAUAGGUGGGAGGCUUUGAAGUGUGGACGCCAGUCUGCAUGGAGCCGACCUUGAAAUACCACCCUUUAAUGUUUGAUGUUCUAACGUGGACCCGUAAUCCGGGUUGCGGACAGUGUCUGGUGGGUAGUUUGACUGGGGCGGUCUCCUCCUAAAGAGUAACGGAGGAGCACGAAGGUUGGCUAAUCCUGGUCGGACAUCAGGAGGUUAGUGCAAUGGCAUAAGCCAGCUUGACUGCGAGCGUGACGGCGCGAGCAGGUGCGAAAGCAGGUCAUAGUGAUCCGGUGGUUCUGAAUGGAAGGGCCAUCGCUCAACGGAUAAAAGGUACUCCGGGGAUAACAGGCUGAUACCGCCCAAGAGUUCAUAUCGACGGCGGUGUUUGGCACCUCGAUGUCGGCUCAUCACAUCCUGGGGCUGAAGUAGGUCCCAAGGGUAUGGCUGUUCGCCAUUUAAAGUGGUACGCGAGCUGGGUUUAGAACGUCGUGAGACAGUUCGGUCCCUAUCUGCCGUGGGCGCUGGAGAACUGAGGGGGGCUGCUCCUAGUACGAGAGGACCGGAGUGGACGCAUCACUGGUGUUCGGGUUGUCAUGCCAAUGGCACUGCCCGGUAGCUAAAUGCGGAAGAGAUAAGUGCUGAAAGCAUCUAAGCACGAAACUUGCCCCGAGAUGAGUUCU
rnacentral:rRNA from 1 species